AGGAAACUUGAGGGGUUCAUUCCCUAGUACGAGAGGACCGGGAAUGACGCACUUCUGGUGUGGCAGUUGUUCCGUCAGGGGCAUCGCUGCGUAGCCAUGUGCGGAAGAGAUAAGCGCUGAAAGCAUCUAAGUGCCAAGCUCAUCCCAAGAUAAUGUUUCCCGGGGCGCAAGCCCCCUAAAGACCACGGGCAGACCACCCGUUUGAUAGGCUGGACGUGUACGAGGAGUAAUCCUUUCAGCCGACCAGUACUAAUCGGUCGUGCGGCUUGAUUGCUUUUUUCU
rnacentral:rRNA from 1 species